AGUAAUAACUACUUUCUGAAAAACAGAUUUAAUAAUGCUGUAUUUAUCUGUAGACAAGAUGGUGGUUAAGCUGUUAAUGAAAUGCAGAUGGUCCUGUUUUAAAGUACAAAUGCUUCUUUACUCGAUAUGCUAAGCUUUAGGGGAGUUUUAAUAUAAUCUCUAAAGGUUGAAAAUGAUAUAGUAUUUGUAAAAUGAGUGAAUUGUGAAAGGAACGUUGAUUGUUUAUGUGUCGUUGAAGAAUUUACUAGGAAAAUUAGUCAAAGGCCUCUCGGGGGACUUAGCAUUUUGCUACAGAUAAGGUAAAAUAUUCAGUGUUAUGUUAUGGCUUCUGCAAGCAUUGAUUAAACUCCCCAGUGUUCAUGAAGGCUGACAGGGAUUCAAAGGAGGAAAUGUAAAACUUGAAGUUCCUGAACCAUCAUCCUACUACAGCUACACUAGAAGACUGCAAAUAAUGCAACAACCUUUUUCUGCAUUAAGGUGUGAGGAUGGACAGUGGAGAAUAUUAUAGAAAAGGGUCUUUCUCCUGUCUAAGUGUCAUAAUGCUCUCCCUAGAUCCCUGGAAAAACAAGCAGGUCUAGUGAAUGCCCGAGGUUUUCGUGAAGAUCAGAAGCAGGACAGGAUCUGACCCAGUGUGGCCAUUCAUGACAAUGCUAUCCACAGGAAAAAACCUUCAUCUUUGACUGCUUAGUCUGCAAACCUCUUCGAAGAAAAACACUUUCACAAAUCCAUGAGAACAAGACCAGGAAUUCCAGCUUUGAAUUCUGCUGUAAUGAGUGCUUGUGAAAAACGGAACACACCAAAAGAAGGACUCAGGGCAAAUGCAGUCAAACUCAAGGAUUGCAGCAUACACCUGGCACACCAGAAGCUGGAAAGUGACUGUUUGAACCUCAUUCUCAAAUAAAUGAGAGAAAGAGCACUCAACUGUCUAUUCAAGGAAAUCUGAAUGGUGUGUUCUCAAUGGUUUUUCCUUAGAGUCUCUUCAUGAAGAUUAUAAAGAUGUAUUGUGGUGAAGAACGGAAAAUUUUAAAUAUUUUGGUUGGAAAUUCCAGCUCUUUUCGGUCUGUCCAAAGGGGUAUCUUCAUGUUCUGAUGCACUAAUAGUACCAUCUCAAACUUUAGAAAAAAAUAAAUAAAAAAAUCACACUCUGA